rnacentral:rRNA from 1 species
GACGAACGCUGGCGGCGUGCUUAACACAUGCAAGUCGAACGGUGAAGCUCCAGCUUGCUGGAGUGGAUCAGUGGCGAACGGGUGAGUAACACGUGAGCAACCUGCCCCUGACUCUGGAAUAAGCGCUGGAAACGGCGUCUAAUACUGGAUACGAGAAGGGUCCGCAUGGGCACUUUCUGGAAAGUUUUUCGGUUGGGGAUGGGCUCGCGGCCUAUCAGCUUGUUGGUGAGGUAAUGGCUCACCAGGCGACGACGGGUAGCCGGCCUGAGAGGGCGACCGGCCACACUGGGACUGAGACACGGCCCAGACUCCUACGGGAGGCAGCAGUGGGGAAUAUUGCACAAUGGGCGAAAGCCUGAUGCAGCGACGCCGCGUGAGGGAUGACGGCCUUCGGGUUGUAAACCUCUUUCAGCAGGGAAGAAGCGAAAGUGACGGUACCUGCAGAAGAAGCACCGGCUAACUACGUG